UACGUAGGGUCCGAGCGUUGUCCGGAAUUACUGGGCGUAAAGAGCUCGUAGGUGGUUUGUCGCGUUGUCCGUGAAAACUCACAGCUUAACUGUGGGCGUGCGGGCGAUACGGGCAGACUGGAGUACUGCAGGGGAGACUGGAAUUCCUGGUGUAGCGGUGGAAUGCGCAGAUAUCGUGAGGAACACUAGUGGCGAAGGCGGAUCUCUGGACAGUAUCUGACGCUGAGGCACGAAGGCCAGGGGAGCGAACGGGG
rnacentral:rRNA from 1 species